rnacentral:rRNA from 1 species
UACGUAGGGGGCAAGCGUUGUCCGGAAUCAUUGGGCGUAAAGAGCGUGUAGGCGGCCCGGUAAGUCCGCUGUGAAAGUCCAGGGCUCAACCCUGGGAUGCCGGUGGAUACUGUCGGGCUCGAGUCCGGAGAGGAGUGUGGAAUUCCUGGUGUAGCGGUGAAAUGCGCAGAUAUCAGGAGGAACACCAAUGGCGAAGGCAGCACUCUGGGCCGUAACUGACGCUGAGGAGCGAAAGCCAGGGGAGCAAACGGG